rnacentral:rRNA from 1 species
ACGCUCGACACCUACGGGAAGGCAGCAGUGGGGGAUAUUGCACAAUGGGCGAAAGCCUGAUGCAGCGACGCCGCGUGAGGGAAGACGGUCUUCGGAUUGUAAACCUCUGUCUUCAGGGACGAAAGGAAUGACGGUACCUGAGGAGGAAGCCACGGCUAACUACGUGCACAGCCGCGGUAAUCUGAGCGGGCUGGCAAGGC